rnacentral:sRNA from 1 species
GCCGGGUACUGUGAUGCAUACCUGUAAUCCCAGCAACUUGGGAGGCCGAGCCAGGAGGAUCAAAGGUUCAGGGGCAGCCUCAGCGACUUACUGAGACUCUAUCUCAA